UGCUAAGCCAUAAAUAUUGAUAGAUAAAUUACAAUACUUUCCGCCAGAGAACUACAAGUGAAAAACUUGAAACUCAAAGGACUUGGCGGUGUCCCACAUUCAGCCUAGAGGAGCCUGUCCUAUAAUCGAUACCCCACGUUUUACCUCACCAUCACUAGCACUAACUCAGCCUAUAUACCGCCGUCGACAGCUUACCCCAUGAGGGAAAAAUAGUAAGCAAAAUAGCCCUCCCCGCUAAUACGUCAGGUCAAGGUGUAGCUCAUGUGACGGAAGAGAUUGGCUACAUUUUUUAUAUUAAAAAACACGGAAUGCUACAUGAAAAAUAACAUGAAGGCGAAUUUAGUAGUAAGACAGACAAGAGAACCUGUCUUAAUAAUGCUCUGGGACGCGCACAC
rnacentral:rRNA from 1 species